AUGAAUAUCCCAGCCUGGAACUCUCGGGGAUUGGGGUUGGACUCGACAGUGGGCGAACUACGCGAUCUGAUUAGGUCUCACAACCCAGCGGUGGUGUUUCUGAGUGAAACUAAGAAGAGGACGAGGGCUAUGGACAAGCUCAAGUGGAGUUUGGGCUUUAGGUCCGGGGUGGCCGUGGAUUGCAAUGGCAAAAGUGGGGGGCUUGCCCUCUGGUGGAGGGAUCACUUACAUGUCACUAUAAGACCAUGGUGCCAAUAUUUUCUAGAUGUUGAGGUGGUCAGUGAGGGCAAAACCUUUAGGAUCACUGGAUUCUAUGGGGAACCGGAUGUCAAGCGUAGAUGUAAAUCUUGGGAUGCUCUUAGCUAUCUGAAGAGGCAGGAUAACCUGUCGUGGUUGUGUGUUGGGGAUUUCAAUGAGACUCUCUUUCAGUCGGAGCAGAGGGGAGGCAAUCAGAGGGGUUUUCUGUAG
rnacentral:rRNA from 1 species